UACGAAGGGUGCAAGCGUUAAUCGGAAUUACUGGGCGUAAAGCGCGCGUAGGUGGUUCGUUAAGUUAGGAGUGAAAGCCCCGGGCUCAAACCUGGGAAUUGCUUCUAAAACUGGCGAGCUAGAGUAUGGUAGAGGGUGGUGGAAUUUCCUGUGUAGCGGUGAAAUGCGUAGAUAUAGGAAGGAACAUCAGUGGCGAAGGCGACCACCUGGACUGAUACUGACACUGAGGUGCGAAAGCGUGGGGAGCAAACAGGAUUAGAUACCCCUGUACGUCCU
rnacentral:rRNA from 1 species